rnacentral:lncRNA from 1 species
UCCGUUUGAGCUCAAAUUUGAUAGGCAGGCUCGAUUUAAUGUACUGAGUAAGAAUAUAUCUUAAGUUUUCAGUUUCGACCCGGUUUGGUCAUCGAAAACUAUACCGAACUGUAAUCUUUAUCAUAUGGCUGUCUGAUUUUAUUUCUCACUCUACAGGUGUCAGAAUGGUAUGAAACUUUAAAUCUAGCCUCAUAAAAAUAUUUCUGACAUAUUCUCCAGUUUUCAUAAUUUUCUGACACUGUGCAUUUUCUGCUAAUUUAUCUGCCCCGUUUCUCACAGAAAAUUCUAAAUCUUCUGUUUUCGCUCCGAUUUCAGUACAAGUCAUUUCCAAUCUAUAUUUCACUUCUCUAAACCCAAUAAAAUAGUAUCUCAUACUAUUUUUAUUUAUUUUCACCUUUAUACUUAAAAAUCCGGUAUGUUACAUUCCACCGCAACCUCACCGGAACCAUUUAAAUGUACACCGUAACUUCAUAGUUUUAGAA